GAGGAGAUAGUUCAGUAGUAGAGCACAGACCUCCCAAGGCUGAUGAGCCAGGUUCAAUUCUUGGUGCCUGCA
rnacentral:tRNA from 1 species